rnacentral:rRNA from 1 species
GAUGAACGCUGGCGGCGUGCUUAACACAUGCAAGUCGAACGAAGCACUUUAUUUGAUUUCCUUCGGGACUGAUUAUUUUGUGACUGAGUGGCGGACGGGUGAGUAACGCGUGGGUAACCUGCCUUGUACAGGGGGAUAACAGUUGGAAACGGCUGCUAAUACCGCAUAAGCGCACAGCAUCGCAUGAUGCAGUGUGAAAAACUCCGGUGGUAUAAGAUGGACCCGCGUUGGAUUAGCUAGUUGGUGAGGUAACGGCCCACCAAGGCGACGAUCCAUAGCCGACCUGAUAGGGUGACCGGCCACAUUGGGACUGAGACACGGCCCAAACUCCUACGGGAGGCAGCAGUGGGGAAUAUUGCACAAUGGGCGAAAGCCUGAUGCAGCGACGCCGCGUGAGCGAAGAAGUAUUUCGGUAUGUAAAGCUCUAUCAGCAGGGAAGAUAAUGACGUUACCUGACUAAGAAGCACCGGCUAAUUACGUG